rnacentral:rRNA from 1 species
CGCGUAGGCGGGUUCCCAAGUCUGUGGUGAAAUCCUCCAGCCUAACUGGAGAAGUGCCAUGGAUACUGGAGACCUCGAGGAGGGUAGGGGCAUCUGGAACAGCCGGUGGAGCGGUGAAAUGCGUUGAUAUCGGCUGGAACUCCGAUGGCGAAGGCAAGGUGCUGGACCCUAUCUGACGCUGAGGCGCGAAAGCCAGGGGAGCGAACG